rnacentral:rRNA from 1 species
UACGGGGGGAGCAAGCGUUGUUCGGAUUUACUGGGCGUAAAGGGCGCGUAGGCGGCCAGCACAAGUCAGUUGUGAAAUCUCCGAGCUUAACUCGGAAAGGUCAACUGAUACUGUGCGGCUAGAGUGCGGAAGGGGCAACUGGAAUUCCAAGUGUAGCGGUGAAAUGCGUAGAGAUUUGGAGGAACACCAGUGGCGAAGGCGACUUUCUGGUCUGUAACUGACGCUGAGGCGCGAAAGCGUGGGGAGCAAACAGG